CUCCAGGGAAACAGAACCAAUAGGAUAUAUACAGAUAGACAUAAAAGGAAAUUCAUCAUAGGAACUGACUCGUGCAGUUAUGGAGGCAAUAACUCUCAUAGCCUUCCAUCUGUAAACUGGAGACCUAGGACAGCCAGUGGUGUCAUUUAACCCAAGUCCAAGGGCUUGAGAACAUGGGGAGCUGAUGGUAUAAGUCCCCAUCCAAUUCUGGAUGUCCAAGAGCCAGGAGCGCCAAAGGAGGAGGGCAGGAGAAGAAGGAUAUCCCAGCUCAGAUAAGGACACAGAGGCUCGGAGAAGAAAAGCAAGCCACUGAAGGUUGCCCAGUGAGGAAACAGGUUCCGUCAUUGCCCAGGCACAUGACUAAGAAGUAGAGAAGGUCAAAUCCCAGCCUGGAUCUAGCUGACCCUAAAGUCCAUUCACCCAAUACUCUGUGAUGAUGGAAGUGAAGCUCAGAAUGAAUGAAGAACCAAAUGAAGACCAGACAGCCAGUAUGCAAACCCUGGAGUUAGCUGUGGCAUCUGGAUGGAAAAGGCUGCAAGCAAAAGAAGGUGGAAAGAUCCAGAAUCAGUUAGGAAUCCAGGUUACACUGCUUGCUGCUGUGUUUCCAGGUCUAUCUGGUACAUACUGGCUGAUCAACAAAUAUCUGUGCAAUGAAACUAUUAGCUGUGUGACUUUGGGAAAAUUUUUUAACUUUCCUCAAUGCCCUCACAGUGAAAUGCUGGUCAUACUGUGGGGUUCAAGAUUAAAUGAACAAAGAGGGGAAAGCCUGGAGAGGUGUAGAAUGAGCUCAACAACAAUUAGUUGACAAUAAAAAUCAAAGUCCUGCUAUGA